UCAGUUUCAGUUUUCUUUUCGUCCUUGAUACGUAUUGAGUGUUGUCUAUCGAUUCUAUCUUGUUUUGUCGCAGAUUUUUUCAAGUUUUCCUGUGUUACAAACAAAUUUGUUGUGUUAUAUAGCUAAAUUUGUAUUAUUUCUUUCAUAAUAUAAUUAGUGUUUCAAUAGUUUUCAACUAUUUUAACUAAAAAUCUUUUUUGAAGUUUGGUUCCUCAGCCACUCACACAAGAUGGCUAAACGUAGGCCCAACGUUUCACCAUACAGUGUAAUCAGUGAUUUCGAAAAUGAUUCGGAUUUGGAAGAAUUAUCAUGUGCAAAACGUAGAAAAUCUUCUGAGAGUUUAGUGUCCUCCACUGUGGCAUACGGUAUGAAUCAGGAAUGGAAACAGUUGAAUUGACUGAAGAAAAUGAGCACACCUACUCUUGUUCCCCAAUAAUUCUAACAAAUCCGCGAGGGAAGCAGGCUACAGAUAAUUCAGUAAGUACUUCAAAUAAAAAUUCGGGUAAAUGGAAAUCAAUUUUGAAAAACAGUUCAUCAACAGAAACCGUUCAAACAUCUGUGGUGGACUCCAGCUCAGCUUCUGAGCAGGACGAUGAUGAAGAUUUCACAAUAGAUCCUCGCCCACAGAAAUCGAGAAGAUCGAAAGCAAAAUGCUUUUCCAAGAAUGCUAUCAACGCGCGCAUAAAUCGCAUAAGGAAGAAACAGUAUGUAAGUAGUUUAGAAGAUGAUGUCAAAUCGUUGAAGAUCAUAAAGAAGGCUCUUUCCCAAGAGUUGAAUUCCAAAUCAACGGAAAUUGCUUCCCUGAAGAAUGAGGUUAAGUACCUGCGCAGUAUUAUCGCUAACAAUGGUCAGAUUGGGGGUUUGUUGAAAAGAAUUUGUACAAACAACAGUAUUGAGAUUAGGUCAUCAGUUGUACAGCAAAACAACUCACAAUGUCUCACUUCCAACGAAGUGUGGGAAAGUGAUGCCACCAAUGUAUCACCCAUUCUCACAAACAGUAUUGACUUUCCCAAAAGUAUAGACACUGAUUUCGAAACCGAUGCUUUACUAGAGUCAAAUCUUGAUGUUCUGUUAGGGUCUACAUGGAGUUCCUCUGCGACGCCAGCUUUAGAUUUGCCUGAAAAUGACGAGUUUUUCCGUUGUGAAACGCCUUCAAAAUACCUGGAUAGCUUUGGUGAUAACCAAUCAGACUACGGAGUUUGUUUACAUGUUGGGAGGAAUAGGAUAUCGUUGGAGUUUUGCGCAGCCUGCAAUGAAAGCGCUUUGAACAAUUGGAGUUCAAAUAUGUUUGACUGAACAAUGUGGUUGACAGAAUUAUCCAAUCUUAUUGGAGAUUUCCCAAAUUCCAUGGUUCUAAACCAAAGUGAAAGGAUUACGAGGAGACAGGAGGAGAAAUGUGUGAAAGGAAGGAGAGUGAAUCUAAGGAUAAACGGAUGAAUCUAGGAGAUAUCGAAAAGCUGAUAAAAACUUGCAAAUAAGCUGCGGCGACUGGUGGCGACUCUUUGGAGACUUGCUACAUCACACUAUGUUCAAUGAACAUGAUUUUAAAUGGUGUGUAUUUAAUUUUUGAUGAUAUUGUUUUUCCAAGUUCUAUGAAAGUAUUUGUCUGUGCUCAGUUAGUUCAAUUCUAGACUUCAGAUCUUAAAAUUAUAGACUUCCAUUUUUUUUUUCAAUUUUGAACACUUAAAUUACGACAUAGCUGUCAGUUAUAUCUAACUGCUUAGAGUAAUUCUGCUUUAAUUUAAGUAUUCAAAAGUGAUUAUUAACAAGCAGUUCGUAAUGGAAAGAAAUAUUGAAUAUUUUUAUUUUUUGUUGAUUAAGGCCCGGUUGCACAACAGCCGGCUAAAUUUUAACCGGGAUUAAUUUUACGAGAACUAAUCAGAGAAGGCCCUUUUGAUAAGGCUUCUCUGAUUGGUUCUCGUAAAAUUAAUCACUGAUAAAAUUUAACCGGUUUUUCUGCAACCGGCACAUAGACUUUCAUUUUUUGUUGACUAAGUGUAUUACAAUAGAGAAACAAUAGCAUAAGUAGAUAUCCUAUGGUAUAGGACGUUUAUGUCGCAACUUUUACUGUUAUCUCAAGCCGAUAGUACAAGUAAUUCUUUCCGGUUAAGCUGUGUGACACUGGUAGUCUCUCAUAUUUUGCCGUUCAUACACACUCACCCCAACAAAACAGUAAAAUUCGACAAUAAUCAACAGUAAUCGGCUUGAGAUAACAGUAAAAGUUGCGUCAUAAACGCCCUAUACCAUGGGAUAUCUACUUAUGCUAUUGUUUAUCUAUGGUAUUACCUAUUGAAUAAUUAAUUGUAUUAAUAGUGAAUUUAUAAUCGUAGUUCGUGAUGGAGACCUUAAUUUAUGAAUUGACAACUGAGAGAAUAAGACGUUGAUGUUGUCAAUACCACUAUCUUUGUUCAAAACUUAAUUCACAUUACAGAACCAGCUGUUCAUGGUAACACCUAACACAUCUUCAGCUGAACUAAUGUGGUAGGUGUUACCAUGAAACCUGGUUCUAUAAUGUGAAUUUAUUUUUGAACAAAUAAUAUAGUGGUAUUGACAACAUUAACGUCUUUUUCUUUCAUUCAUGGAGAAAUACUACAAUCUCAUGCCAUACAAUCAGACUUGACAACUCUUUAAAUUCAAUCUUUAUUUUAGCUUCUAAUCCUAGUCUUAAACCCACCUUUUCAACUUCAAAAUUAUGACUCCUUGUCAUUGAAUAUGUCUCAUCAACUACAAAAAUUAUGACUAAAGCUAAAUAAAAGAUUGAGUCGAAAAAGUUUUCAAGUCAUCAAUUUUGAUCUCCAUUACUAACUGCAAUUUCAAAUUCACUAAUAAUACAAUAUUACUUUAUCAAUAUUACCGUUGUGGGUGAUACACUAAGACCCGGUUGUACAACAGUCGGUUAAAUUCUAAUCUUGAUUAAUUUCACGAGAACCAAUCAGAGAAGCCGUCUUAUCAAAAAGGCCUUCUCUGAUUGGUUCUCGUGAAAUUAAUCACGGUUAAAAUUCAACCGGCUUUUGUGCGACCGGGCCUUAAUCAACGAAAAAUGGUAAUCUACUAUUUUAAAAAAUUAUGAAAUAAUCAAUCUCAUUAUCAUAAAAAAGUUGAAAUAAACAUUUAAUUAUUGAACUUGAUUAGUUCUUCUCAAAAAUAUGUUUAGAAUGAUUACAGUAGCAAUAUUUUGUGCUUUCUUUUAAAACCUUCAAUGUAGGAGUCCUGGUUUGAGAACGGGCCUGUAAAAUGAGGGAUUAUACAAGAAAAGCCAAAGCAUUGGGAAUUAUUGAACUCGUGACUUACUUAUUAUAAUUUAUCAAAAUUAUCGUAAUCCUCAAAACAACGGUUCCCCCAAUAUUGCUCCCUAGGGUAUUUUUAAAUAGAUUUCAAAUUUUCUUCAAUGAAUAUUUAUUGUUAGUUUGAAAUACACAGACAGGUAUUUUUAUAAGAGAAAAAUAAUCCAAAGUCAUUUCAGUGUUAAAUUUAUUCAAUUAGUAAAAUCAUUUUUUCCAAUAUUUUCAUGAAAUCACAAAAUUUGUACCUUCUUGGAAGUUUACUAGAUCCAAUAAUACAUAGUUCUAUACAUAAUUCUAUUUGAAAAUUCUGGUUUCUUUGAGAACAGAGAUAGAAAUCCCUUGAUCAUUCAUGUUUUUUGAAAACAUAUAAAACCAUAGCCACCUCUAAUACAGAGGUGUAUUAAAGGUGGCUAUGAUAAAACCCUCUGAAACAUAAGUUAAAAAUUAUUAACGUACAAAAAUCAUUCAACAUCACCUUUCAAAUAAAAUAGAAUUUUUAAAGAAAGUUUUUGUCUUGUAUGUGCUUCCUUGAUUUUGAUAUUAUUUUAUCAAGUGAUUUAGAAUUUAUUUGAAAUUAAUGCUGUAUCUAAGCUUAUUAUUGACUAUGGGGCUUUAGGAAAAAUCUCCAAUUAGUUUCAAUUUGUUAUUUUUACAAACAAAUACUGAGUUCUAGAAAAAUACAGCAGUAUUCAUUUUUUUCUUGUAAUUUGACUGAAAUCUAAUACUUUGGUUAAUGAACAGUUCAAUUCUAGCUUAAAUUAAUAGGUUUAAGUUUGACACUAAAGGGGUAUAUCACUCCAUUUUUCACUAUUCAUUAUUUGUAUUUUAGAGUACUGUAUUACAGUAAUAGUCAGUAAAGCUCUGUGAAUAAUAAGAUUCGAGCAAUAACAUAGGAACUUUUUCACCAGAAUAAUAAUAUUCUUUCUCUCUUUUUAUUUUUCUUUAAAAUUUUAUUCAUUCCACUCCUAAUAUUAUUAAGCCUAUUUAAAAGGCUAUUCCUUUUCAAUUGUUUCAUUGUCUCGUCAAUAAAACUCAUUCUAUUUUCAACAUAGAAAUCGAGUUGAUAUUAACAGAAAUUUUUAAGUAUUAAAAUGUCAACUAAUAUUCCUUACUUUAUGGAAUAAAAUAAUACACUUUUGUAAAAGUAUGUGUUAAAAUUCAUGUCAAGUAAAUUAAAGCAGCACAUAAGACAAGAACAUUUAGUUUUUCCCCCACAUCUUUAACGAAUACUAUGAUAUUUUUAUAUCUAAUAUUUCAAUUUCUCCAUAAAUUCUUCUCAACUGAAAUGACUUUCUCAUCAACUUUUUGGCCGAUUUUAUCACUAUUUUUUGGUUUACAUGAUGGACGAGGAGAGAAGAGAGAGAGAGGACUACAAAGAGAGGAAAGGAAGCUUGAGAGAGAGAAGAAGUUUCCAAUCCAGAAAAUAGAGGUAAGUAAUAAGGUAGGUAUUAUUUUUGAUAGUUGAUUUGUUUUUGAGCUAUGUAGGAUAUUUUUUGAGAAUGAUUUAAUAUAAUUUAGUGAGAUUUACGUUUUAAAGUUGGUUGAAAUGAUGACAUAGUUGACACGUUUCUUCUUCCACCGCCUUAUUUUCUCAAAACAUACAAAUAAUAAUACAGUACAGUGUGUUCACUUGAAAUAUUUAUUUAUUUAGCGUAUGGCAGACAUACAACAAUAUAGCUCUCAUAUAAUGACGGGGUUAGAAUUCAAGGGGUCCAAGUGACAUAUUGUUAGUUUCGAGAAAAUUGUGUAUGAAGUUUACUUACAUUAAUUAAUUCUUCAUCCAUGAAAUGAAUAUAAAAAUGAUAUUCACCUAUUCCUAUAACUAUUCAGUAUACUUUUACCAAAUCAAACAUACAGUUUCAUGUCUCAAAUUGCUCUCCUUUCUUAAUUAUCAGCUAAAUAGUGAUAAGAAGUAUCACUUGUACCCCUUGUUUGCCAAAAAAAACUAUUGUCUAGCUACACAUAAAUUAUCAAAUUUACCAGCAAUUGAACAAUGAUUAAUGACCUCAUUGCAAUAUUAUCUGAUUCGCUAAUUGGUUCUUGAGGUAUCUCUUGCUUGGUGACAUGGCUUAAUCAAGGUUAAAUUUAAUUUAAUGGAUAAGAGCAACAGUUGAACUGUAAACAAGGGAUCCAAGUCACUUGGACCCCUUGUUUAAUCAAAUGAACAGCUGUUUGAGAAUAAUUUAGUUUGAAAAUUUUACACCAGAUAUGUCGGCACUGAUUAGACUUACGCUUAUACCUCUUGUAUACUAGGUUUUACCACUUUCAGCUAUCGAUUACUGUAGCUAACUCAAAAAAAAUGUCACUUGGACCCCUUGUAUUCUGACCCCCUCAUAAUAUAUAUGAGUCUCAAAUGCAUAGAUAUACAAUGUAUAUUUCCAAAUUCUUUGAGAUGUUGUGUAGUUUUCGGUCAGGAGAACUUAAGUUUGUCUGACCGCCAUUAUAGGCCUAACUAAAAUAAAUAUCACUUGAAAUAUAAAUACAUAUUAACACAUAAUCAUAAAAUUAUUGGUAAUGGAAAAACAUGUAUCUUGUUAUACAGGGUGGCACAGAUGGAUUGGGUGGUUUUAACAUACUUGUCAAACUGUGACUUUAAAAUCACAAGUCAUCAACUUGAUAAUUAUGCUUGAGUAGACCAAUGCGGAACGUUGAGGACCGACUCGAAUGCAUCGCUCGAGAAGGAGGGCAUUUGAUGGUUGUAAUUUUUAAAAACUAACGACUUAUUUGCUGUUUCUAAACUUCCAUUGUAACUACACGUUUUGCACAUUAUUUCAAUCCAAUGUACCUUAAACCUUUAAAAUUGACAGUCUAACAAGUAUCUUAAAACCAUCUGAUCCAUCUACGCCACCUUUUACAGAGUGUCUCACGAAAUGUGUAACAACCAAAGACCAUUUUACAUGAAAUUUGUAAUAGAAAAUAUCCUGUAAAUUUCUCUUUCAUCGACCUUAGUUCUCGAGAUCUAUCGAUUUUUCUGUUUUUGUAAAACGCCAAUAACUAGAAAACUAUUAGUCAAGAUCGAAUUCAAGGGUAUGGUUGAUUGAUUGAUUUUUAAUUGCCUUUAUUAAGGGCGGAGUUGGACUCCAGGUCCUCUCUGCCACAUAACCCUUGGAGAGAAAAAAUAUCAAAUGGGAUUCAUAUAAUUUGUUCCUCACUUUGUCGUUUUUAAACAUUUUAUGAGCGUUCAAACUGUUCUAAAUUUGGUUUUGAACUCGACAAAUGUACCACCUUCAACUUUGAACGGUCAUAAAAAGUCCAAAAACGUCAAACAAAGGAUCAAAUUAUAUGGAUUUUAUUAGAAAUUUCUUCCUCUUUCCAACCAUAUCCUUAAAAUUAGAUUGUGACUCAUAGUUUUCUAGUGAUUGAUGCUUCUGAAAAAUAUUUUAAAAUCGAUAUAUCUUGAAAACUAAGGUCGACAUAAGAAAGUUUUAUUCUAAACUAGCAGGUAACCCGUGCUCCGCAAAGGUUUAAUUAAUAACUUGACCUACUGAAAUGUUGAAGAAUUUAAAAUAUGCCUUUAACCAUCCUCGGUGAAUUGAGAAUCAAUAUGCAAAAUUUCAAGUUAAUCAGUUGAGUAGUUUAGACGUGAUUAUGCAUCAUUCGUGAAUUCCUUAUCCGGUACGUGUGUAAGCGAAUUCUUUCCUUAUUAUAUUAUAAUAGAUUUGCAUUAAUAAUUGCAAUUUUUUACAUUAAUGUUGCAAAUUUCAUGUAGAAUCUAUGGUUUUCGGCUGUUAAACCUUUCGUGGACCACUUUGUACUAGUAGUUCGGUGAACAGUAGACCUCACGCAGUAUUCUCAUCCACAAGUACCUUAUUGAAACUGACCUUAUACAGCAAUAGACUGGCUUCUCCACACAUCUGUGUAAUCACUUGACAGCUGAUUUAUGAUGAAUAAUUCUAUAAUCUGAUUUUUACUCUAAUAUUGGCGUAUGAAGGAGGCUCCUUUUUCCUUUUAUAUUAUCCUUGAAAUGCAAAAUUUCCAAAAAACCUUGUAUAUACGUCGACGCGCAAUUAAAAAAGGAACAUACCUGUCAAAUUUCAUGGAAAUCUAUUACCGCGUUUCGCCGUAAAUGCGCAACAUAUAAACAUUUAAACAUUAAGAGAAAUGCCAAACCGUCGACUUGAAUCUUAGACCUCACUUCGCUCGGCCAAUAAGAUGCAUGAAAACAGCGAUGUAUCAUAUUUGAUAUCUCUCGACACCUGAUUAAAUGUGGUUGCAGUGAGGUACAGAGAAUCUCUACAAGUAUCUGCCUAUGUCUAAGUGACAGAUGACGGAGAAGUUCAGUAUCAUUACACUGAGCGGCCUCAUCAAUGAUGCAGCUUGUUAUCCGUAGAUAUCUUCUCAUUGUGAGACUAUCUAGUCGUUAGGGAGGGUGUCAUGUCUGCGAUAUCUCAAAUGUGCGAGAAUCAGCUGAUCGGGAAGAUCUCAGAUGUGCGAAAUUUCAGUUUGUCUGGUUCCCGUUGCUUUUUGGAUACAACAUCAUUGUAUUCGUAUGAUACCUUAUCAUAUUCUGGAUCGAUAUUGUAUCAUGUGAAUUGAUACUAUAUCUUUUAUUAUGGAUUGAUACUGUAUCAUAUUCUGGAUCGAUAUUGUAUCAUGUGAAUUGAUACUAUAUCUUAUUAUGGAUUGAUACUGUAUCAUAUUCUGGAUCGAUAUUGUAUCAUGUGAAUUGAUACUAUAUCUUAUUAUGGAUUGAUACUGUAUCAUAUUCUGGAUCUAUAUUGUAUCAUGUGAAUUGAUAAUAUAUCUUAUUAUGGAUUGAUACCUUAUCAUAUUCUGGAUCUAUAUUGUAUCAUGUGAAUUGAUACUAUAUCUUAUUAUGGAUUGAUACUGUAUCAUAUUCUGGAUCUAUAUUGUAUCAUGUGAAUUGAUACUAUAUCUUAUUAUGGAUUGAUACCUUAUCAUAUUCUGGAUCGAUAUUGUAUCAUGUGAAUUGAUACUAUAUCUUAUUAUGGAUUGAUACCUUAUCAUAUUCUGGAUCGAUAUUGUAUCAUGUGAAUUGAUACUAUAUCUUAUUAUGGAUUGAUACUGUAUCAUAUUCUGAGCUGACACGUUUGCUAAUGUGAUACUGUGAGAAUGUACAAACUGAACGGCACAACGUCUCACUUGUUUCAGAUUUUCUGGAAUAGGCAAUCGCAGAUCUGAGGCACUUCAGUUGGUGCUUGAUGUUUAAUUCAAUAUGAUUUUCCAAUAAUUUAAGUUUCAAGUUCUCUUUGCAUCAGCCUGAUAAAUUGUAGUUCUCCAAUCAAUAGAAGUUUCCUUAAAGGUGCGUACAGACUGUCGCUCUGCUCCGCAACCGAACGUCACUCCAGCAGAGCGAUUGAUGAUCGACCGGCGAGCAAGAGUGGUUCGACCGGGGAACGCGAGAAGAUCUAACAUCUUCCGUAACGUUCAUGAUGGGUGCGUGGGCGGAGCGACUGUGGUUCGAUGGUGGUACGAGGGAGGAGCAUGCUCGGUGUUGGUUGGAAGCGCGAAUAUGAGUACGCAGCUUAAGGCUCAACUCACACUUACGCGACUCAGCAUGUGUUUUCAAUUGGUGAGGUCGCGGGGACUAGAAUCGACUGGUCUGAGUGUCACCAUUUGGAAACACAUGCUGCGUCGAGAAGAGACUAGAGUCGCAGUUUCAGCCUUACUCUUCAUCAAUUGCAUUAAUUUUUCUCUAUAAAAAUUCAGAUUUUUUCUUACUCACAUCUGGUUCUCUAGGCUUGUAAAAUUUCUACACUUGCUCCUCACAAUCCAAUUUAGCUGCGUUUCUGAACUGUGCUUCAACUAUACUGAGGUCCACGUUAUAAUGUCAGUAUCUGAUUAACAUUGGUAUUGCUAUCCUUGUCUAUCACUCGUUAAAGCAGAUGCCGAUAUCUUUCCUGGCUCUGAUAUCCUGCCAGAUUGUUUUUCAACAAUUUGGAAAUAUAAUGAAUUACCAAAAUAUUUAGUCUCAGUUAUGAAAAUCUAUUAUUAAAUCACUGAAACAUAUAUCUCCUUGACGAGUAUAAUUGAUCAUAUUAAACAAGAAUGAACAUUUAAUAUGACAUUAGAUAUAGGUAUCAGCUUUCUUCUAUAGACUUGGCAAGUCAGGGAAUCUGAUUCACCGAUAUCAGGGAAUCAUAUAUACCGGUUUCAGCUAUCCUCUGUAGAAGUCAUGGCAAGGAAGAGAAUCGACAACGCUUUUCUCCUAUCUUUCUCCUCUGCCAUUAUAACGUGGACCUCACUAUAGACAUUGAGGUGUCAGUUUGGCCCUCGGAUUUUCUAACAAUCUGAUCAGUGCGGUCAGUUUGGACCCAAGUUUUGAAGCUUAGUAUAUUUUUAUUAGUAGCUUUUGUAUAUUCUUCAAGUUUAAUGUCAAUUGCAGCAUUCGUGGGAGCAUUAAACAAUAUUCGUGAUGUUUAUUAAAAUUAUGAAUACUUUCAGAUAUCAAAAUAAAAUAUGAGAUGUCAAAGUAAAAUGAGAUGUCAAAAUACAAUAAAUCCGUCCAAUUUUGAUAUUUAUUUAGUACCUAGUCAACAAUGUUGUAUUUCUAAUCCGACCAUAUUUGCAUUUUAAUAGUUAUCUCUUUUUGUAUCAAGUUUGAUUUUAUAAAUAAAAUGUUGUUAACUUUGAA